AAACCAUGGUAAGGGCAUCUUUGUUGUAACUCUCGAUAGUGCUCCCAAGCCUCAUACAAUGUCUCUGCUUCCUGUUGAUAAGAACUAGUUAUAUCCAUAUGAAAUU